CAGCAACAACCUGGCACUCAACGUCAGUAAAACAAAAGAGCCGAUUGUGGACUUCAGGAAGGGCAAAACGAAGGAACACAUACCAAUCUUCAGAGAGGGAUCAGAAGUGGAGAAAACCAAGGAAAUUCAGAGGUCAAGUAAUUGUAGUUUCUAUUGAGAUGACAUUGAUCACAUUGGCUUCACAACUGGCAGAGAUUCAUCAACUACACCGAUGAUGCACUGGAGGCCUUAGGGCAACAGCUAGAUGCAACUAGCAGGAUGGCAUGGCAAAACAGACAGGUACUGGAUUGGCUUUUGGCAGAAAAAGUGUGUGUGUGUGUGUGUGUGUGUGUGUGUGUGUGUGUGUGUGUGUGUGUGUGUGUGUGUAAUGUUUGGAGAACAAUGCUGCACUUUCAUACCGAACAAUACUAGCCCAGAAGGGUCUUUCACCAGAGCAAUGAAUAAAUUAAAGAAUCUGCGAACGGAGGUCAAACAGAAUGCAGGGUUCGGACAUCAGUUUUUUGAUUGGUUAGAAAGUAGACUCGGAGGAUGGGGAGCAUGGCUGACUAAAAUAGCAAUAACUGUCGGUAUUAUAUUGUUGAGCUGUGUGUUUGUGCUGUGCUGUUUUCUUCCUUGUCUCAAAUCUCUUGUAGUGCGUGCUGCAACCAAACAAUUUCCGAUGCUCGUGGCAAUUACUGAAGCAAGCUUAGUGGAGAAAGAAACACCGAAAAUGUAUCGUUACAGCCUACAACACCUGCAGGAUGAACAAGAGCAAAAUGACAGUGUGGGAGUAGAUUGUAAGGGCUUAUGAGUCUUUUUCCCUGUCUCAGGUACAGAGGGACAGGUUUUUGGCUCAGCGGCCCAGGGUAACAGGGAGAAAAUACUUUGAGAUCUUGGCGCAGAAAAUUAUAGUUUAACCCGAGAUUUGGGAAUAAAUGCUUGAGUUUAUUGGAGCUUUUGUGCGCGGAUUCUUAGUCUCUUCUCUGUGUGAGACCCUCUGGGUCUCAAAGGGGGGAUAUAUUGGAGUAUAAAAAUAUUAUGGAGUAUAAAAGUUGUAUUAUUUGCUGUGUAACCAAAACUAUGUAGUCAGCUUGCUAUGCAUGUAACCAAAAUGAAAUCCUAGGAAUGUAGAAGACAAUGGUGUGUUAAUGAGAGGUAGCUAAAGAGAUGUAGAUUAGAACAUUGGUCAGUUCUGAGUUUGCUAUUAUUUUGCUCAGUUCUGAGUUUGCUAUUUGCUAUGCAUGUACCCAAUUUAGUAGGAGAAUGAAAUCUUAAGAAUGUAGAAGACAAUGGUGUGUUAAUGAGAGGCAGCUAAGAGAUGUAGAUUAGAACAUGAUUAAGUCAAUGGGACAUACGUGUGGUACCGGUGAAACUGG